GUGCCAGCCGCCGCGGUAAUACGGAGGGUGCAAGCGUUGUCCGGAAUCACUGGGCGUAACGGGUGCGCAGGCGGGGCAGCAAGUCUGAGGUGAAAGCCCAUGGCUCAACCAUGGAAGUGCCUUCGAAACUGUUGCUCUUGAGUCCCGGAGAGGCUGUCGGAAUUCGUGGUGUAGCGGUGAAAUGCGUAGAUAGCACGAGGAACACCAGAGGCGAAAGCGGACAGCUGGACGGGUACUGACGCUCAGGCACGAAAGCGUGGGGAGCAAACAGGAUUAGAAACCCGUGUAGUCC
rnacentral:rRNA from 1 species